GGGCAGGAAGGUUAGGAGGUCUGAAAUAAUGCUACCAGACUGCACAAAAAGUCUGCCCGUUCCAAGUCGGGAUGAAAGCAGAGGAUUUC
rnacentral:ribozyme from 1 species